rnacentral:tRNA from 1 species
AGAAUUGUAGUGAGAAGCUUUAUCGGUGACGCACUGGAUCAUCUGUCUCCAUUGAUUAAACAAAAUGCAGAAAA